rnacentral:misc_RNA from 1 species
CAUGAACACAUUAGAGAUAUUUAAAUAUUUUUUGGAUCAAUAAUUAUACCUUUGUCUUCCAUAAAACUUUGCCAUUUUACACAUUUUUAAAGGACAUCCGUCGAUUUAACAGAUUAUCUUCAUUUUGAAUGAUGUCGCAUUAAAAUUCGUUUAUUUUGUGGCGGCACUCGACAGCAAAUACCACUGGACGACAUCAACUAGUGUCGGACGGCGGCAGUGCAGUGGUUAGCGCCUUAGGUUACGAACGUUCGGGUCGCGGGUUCAAAUCCCGGCGAGCGUAGUCCGAUUUUUCUUCCACGAUACAAAAAUGAGAAGAAAAUGCAGCAGUACCCCAGCAGCGA